UACGUAGGGAGCAAGCGUUGUUCGGAUUUAUUGGGCGUAAAGAGCUCGUAGGCGGCUCGUCGCGUCAGCUGUGAAAACCCGCAGCUUAACUGUGGGCUUGCAGCUGAUACGGGCGGGCUAGAGUUCGGUAGGGGAGACUGGAAUUCCUGGUGUAGCGGUGAAAUGCGCAGAUAUCAGGAGGAACACCGGUGGCGAAGGCGGGUCUCUGGGCCGAUACUGACGCUGAGGAGCGAAAGCGUGGGGAGCGAACAGG
rnacentral:rRNA from 1 species